UGGCUGCUGUGGCGGAUGUUGUUACGACGCCCACGUUCCCACUCUCCGUACUGUGCCGUAUGUUGCUAUGCUGUAGACGUUGAAACAUUGCUUUCUUGAAGAACAAUCAAUUGAACAAUUGUACAAAACGUCUAGCACUGCCCACAAGCGUUAUGCUCUGCUUGACAACGUCAACUCUUACCCGAUCGUACACAGAAGAUGGCUCCGCAGCUUCUUAAUAUUUGCGAUGUUGGAAUUCUGGGAAAUUCCUGGGGCGCGCACGUGCUCACUACGUACCAAGGUCCUAGGAAAGCAGAGUGACAAUUUCUAUUUAAAUUCAAUUCCGUAAUAAAAGCCAACCCCUGGCAAAGCGAUGCUGGCUUGGUGGCACACACGCGGCAAAAAGGAGC